rnacentral:rRNA from 1 species
AGUCGAGUCGGCCUGCGCGGAAGAUUUAGCGGGGCUCAAGCGAUAUACCGAAGCUGCGGAUGUAUAUUUUAAAAUAUAUGUGGUAGGGGAGCGUUCUGUAAGCCUGUGAAGAUGGACUCGUAAGAGCUGUUGGAGGUAUCAGAAGUGCGAAUGCUGACAUAAGUAACGUUAAUGCGUGUGAAAGACACGCACGCCGAAAGACCAAGGUUUCCUGUUCAACGUUAAUCGGAGCAGGGUGAGUCGGCCCCUAAGACGAGGCAGAGAUGCGUAGUCGAUGGGAAUCAGGUUAAUAUUCCUGAACUCUCGUAUCAUGCGAUGGAGGGACGGAGAAAGCUAGACCAGCUGGUGAUUGGUAUACCAGUGUAAGCAGGUAGGCAGAGAUCUUAGGCAAAUCCGGGAUCUCAAUGCUGAGAUGUGAAUGCGAGGAGGUUACGACCUCCGGAGUGGUUGAUGCUAUGCUUCCAAGAAAAGCUUCUAAGCUAUAGUGAUAUGAGAACCGUACCCCAAACCGACACUGGUGGUUGGGAUGAGAAUUCUAAAGGCGCUUGAGAGAACUCGGGUGAAGGAACUCGGCAAAAUCGUACCGUAACUUCGGGAGAAGGUACACCUUCCUUGGUGAAUGCUUUACGCAGUAAGCUGAGGAGGGUCGCAGUGAAAAGCUGGCUGCAACUGUUUAUCAAAAACACAGGACUCUGCAAACACGAAAGUGGACGUAUAGGGUCUGACGCCUGCCCGGUGCUGGAAGGUUAAUUGAUGGGGUUAGCGUAAGCGAAGCU